AUGGUGUUGCAGGCUCAGAAAAAUGGCUUAAUUGAUGGGCUGGCCUCGGAUUUGGUGGAUAAGGGAGUGGUUAUUCUGCAAUACGCAGAUGACACAAUACUUUGCAUUGAACAUAACCCUGAAAAAGCACUCAAUUUGAAGUUGUUGCUUUAUAUGUUCGAACUCAUGUCUGGAUUGAAGAUUAAUUUCCAGAAAAGCGAAAUUCUUAGUGUUGGAGGAGAUGAUAAUAUUCUGAAAGAAUAUGCUGAUAUUUUUGGUUGUCAAAUCGGGCAUUUCCCGAUGAAAUAUCUUGGGGUCCCUGUUAGUUAUUCGUCCGUGAAAGAUGUGGACUGGGACUAUCUUGAGGCUAAAUUUGUCAAAAGAUUCGAGUCUGGGCUGGGAAGUUAUGCC
rnacentral:rRNA from 1 species